rnacentral:rRNA from 1 species
GACGAACGCUGGCGGCGUGCUUAACACAUGCAAGUCGAACGGAAAGGCCCUGCUUUUGUGGGGUGCUCGAGUGGCGAACGGGUGAGUAACACGUGAGUAACCUGCCCUUGACUUUGGGAUAACUUCAGGAAACUGGGGCUAAUACCGGAUAGAAGCUCCUGCUGCAUGGUGGGGGUUGGAAAGUUUCGGCGGUUGGGGAUGGACUCGCGGCUUAUCAGCUUGUUGGUGGGGUAGUGGCUUACCAAGGCUUUGACGGGUAGCCGGCCUGAGAGGGUGACCGGCCACAUUGGGACUGAGAUACGGCCCAGACUCCUACGGGAGGCAGCAGUGGGGAAUAUGGCACAAUGGGCGGAAGCCUGAUGCAGCAACGCCGCGUGCGGGAUGACGGCCUUCGGGUUGUAAACCGCUUUCGCCUGUGACGAAGCGUGAGUGACGGUAAUGGGUAAAGAAGCACCGGCUAACUACGUG